rnacentral:tRNA from 1 species
UGGCCUGUAGCUCAACAGGAAGAGCGGCCGGUUGUUACCCGGCCAGGUGCUGGUUCGAAUCCAGCCAGGUCAG